CCUCUAAGGCGCCCGUACCGGAAACCGACACAGGUGGGUGGGUAGAGUAUACCCAGGCGCGUGAGUGAAACCUCGUUAAGGAACUCGGCAAUCUAGCCCCGUAACUUCGGAAGAAGGGGUGCCCACUUUAUGUGGGUCGCAGUGAAAUGGGUGUACCGACUGUUUUAUCAAAAACACAGCACUCUGCUAACUCGAAAGAGAACGUAUAGGGUGUGACACGUGACCAAUGCGGAAAGAUUACGGUAAGUGGUUAGCCGCAAGGCGAAGCUACGAGCCCAAGUCCCCGUGAAUGUCGGCCGUAACAAUAACGGUCCUAAGGUAGCGAAAUUCCUUGUCGGGUAAGUUCCGACCUGCACGAAUCGUGUAACGAGUGCACCGCUGUCUCAACGAGGAGCUCAGCGAAGUUGUAAUGGCGGUGAAGAUGCCGCCUACCCGCAGCAGGACGGAAAGACCCUAUGCACCUUUACUGUACGCUGUUACUGUGUUUUCGGUUUUCAUGCUUAGCGUAAGUGGGAGACUUUGAUACCAGCCUUUCGGGGCUGGUUGAGUCGCCAAUGAAACACCACCCUUGGGGACUGGAAACUCUAACCCUUGCCCAUUAUCUGGGAAGGGGACACUGGCAGCCGGUCAGUUUUACUGGGGCGGUAUCCUCCCAAAGAGUAACGGAGGAGUGCGAAGUUUGGCUCAGCCUGGUUGGCAAUCAGGUGACGAGUAUAUGGAUAUAAGCCAGACUAACUGUGAGACCUACAAGUCGAGCAGAUGCGAAAGCAGGCCCAAGUGAUCCGGUGGUUGAAAGUGGAAUCGCCAUCGCUCAACGGACAAAAGGUACGCUAGGGAUAACAGGCUGAUCGAGUCCAAGAGCUCAUAUCGACGACUCGGUUUGGCACCUCGAUGUCGGCUCAUCACAUCCUGGGGCUGGAGAAGGUCCCAAGGGUCCGGCUGUUCGCCGGUUAAAGUGGUACGCGAGCUGGGUUCAGAACGUCGCGAGACAGUUCGGUCCUUAUCCGCUGUGGGCGCAGGAAAGUUGAGGGGUUUAAACCUUAGUACGAGAGGACCGGGUUUAACGAACCUCUGGUGUUCCGGUUGUCGUGUCAACGGCAGUGCCGGGCAGCUAUGUUCGGAAAGGAUAAGCGCUGAAAGCAUCUAAGCGCCAAGCCUCUCCCAAGAUUGACUUUCCCUGAAGAGUCGUGGCAGACUACCACGUUGAUAGGCCAAAGGUAGAAGCGCAGUAAUGCGUGCAGCUUAUUGGUACUAAUAACUCGUCCGGCUUGAUCCA
rnacentral:rRNA from 1 species